AUGGCGGCGUCGCAGGAGUACAUGGACAAGGCGCUGCUCCGGCGGAGCUACCGCAACGUCUGGCAUACCGACCUCACCAACGCCAUCCAGGCGGAUUUCCCAUACUGCUGUCUGUCGCUGUGGUGCGGCCCAUGCGUCUCCUACAUGCUCCGCAGGCGUGCUCUCUACCACGACAUGUCGAGAUAUGUGUGCUGCGCCGGGUACAUGCCAUGCAGCGGCAGGUGCGGCGAGAGCAAAUGCCCAGAACUAUGCCUCGCAACAGAGGCGUUCCUCUGCUUCGGCAGCUCGGUUGCUUCGACCAGGUUCCUGCUGCAGGACGAGUUCAACAUCCAGACGACCCAGUGCGACAACUGCAUCAUCAGCUCCAUGUUCUGCCUCCAGCAGCUGGCCUGCAUCUGCUCCCUGGUCGCCUGCAUCGUCGGCAACCAGGAGCUCUCCGAGGCUUCGCAGGCGAUCUCCUGCGUCUCCGACACGGUCUACUGGACGGUUUGCUCCUGUAUGCAGACGCAGCACAAGGUGGAGAUGGACAAGAGGGACGGCAAGCUGGGCGGGGCUGCGAUGACGGUCCCUCCGAUGCAGCAGAUGUCGCGCAUCGAUCAGCCGAUGCCGCCUCAGGUCGGGUAUGCGCCGCAGCCAGCGUCCAACAGGUAG
rnacentral:rRNA from 1 species